rnacentral:rRNA from 1 species
GUGCCAGCAGCGGCGGUAAUACGGAGGGUGCAAGCGUUAAUCGGAAUUACUGGGCGUAAAGCGCACGCAGGCGGUCUGUCAAGUCGGAUGUGAAAUCCCCGGGCUCAACCUGGGAACUGCAUUCGAAACUGGCAGGCUAGAGUCUUGUAGAGGGGGUAGAAUUCCAGGUGUAGCGGUGAAAUGCGUAGAGAUCUGGAGGAAUCCGGUGCGAAGGCGGCCCCUGGACAAAGACUGACGCUCAGGUGACGAAAGCGUGGGAGCAAAC